AGUGAACGCUGGCGGCAGGCCUAACACAUGCAAGUCGAGCGGCAGCGCGGGGGCAACCCUGGCGGCGAGCGGCGGACGGGUGAGGAAUUCGUCGGAAUCUGCCUUUUUGUGGGGGAUAACGUAGGGAAACUUACGCUAAUACCGCAUACGUCCUACGGGAGAAAGUGGGGGACCGCAAGGCCUCACGCAGAAAGAUGAACCGACGACCGAUUAGCUAGUUGGUGGGGUAAAGGCCCACCAAGGCGACGAUCGGUAGCUGGUCUGAGAGGAUGAUCAGCCACACUGGGACUGAGACACGGCCCAGACUCCUACGGGAGGCAGCAGUGGGGAAUAUUGGACAAUGGGCGCAAGCCUGAUCCAGCCAUGCCGCGUGUGUGAAGAAGGCCUUCGGGUUGUAAAGCACUUUUGUCCGGAAAGAAAUCCCUGGAGCUAAUACCUUCGGGGGAUGACGGUACCGGAAGAAUAAGCACCGGCUAACUUCGUG
rnacentral:rRNA from 1 species